GCUUAGCCCUAAACCUAGGUAGAACCUAUACAACUCUACCCGCCAGAGAACUACAAGUGAAAAACUAGAAACUCUAAGGACUUGGCGGUGCUCCACACCAACCUAGAGGAGCCUGUCCUAUAAUCGAUACCCCACGUUAUACCUCACCAUUUCUUGCCCAUCAGCCUAUAUACCGCCGUCGCCAGCCUACCUCAUGAGAGCUUAACAGUAGGCAAAAGAGUUAAUAACUAAAACGUCAGGUCAAGGUGUAGCUCAUGAAGUGGAAGAGAUGGGCUACAUUUUCUGCCACAGAAAACAUCGAACGGCACAAUGAAACUCGUACCCAAAGGCGGAUUUAGCAGUAAGAUAUAUAAGACAAUAUAUCUUAAGCCUGCUCUGGAGCGCGCACACACCGC
rnacentral:rRNA from 1 species